GACGAACGCUGGCGGCGUGCUUAACACAUGCAAGUCGAACGGAAAGGCCUGCUUUCCCUUGUGGAUUGCGGGUACUCGAGUGGCGAACGGGUGAGUAACACGUGAGUUAUCUGCCCCCAACUUGGGUAUAAGCCUGGGAAACUGGGUCUAAUUCCCGAUAGGACUGCAGGGUGGUGCCUGUGGUUGAAAACGAUGUUCUAGUGGUUGGGGUUGAGCUCGCGGCCUAUCAGCUUGUUGGUGGGGUAAUGGCCUACCAAGGGGGGGACGGGUAGCCGGCCUGGGAUGGCCGACGGGAGAGUUGGGACGGAGACACGGCGCAGAAUACUACGGGCGGACGCAGGGGGGAAGAUUGAGCGAUGGGUGGAAGCCUGAGGCAGCGAGGCCGCGUGGGGGAUGACGGCCGUCGGGUUGUAAACUCCGUUUGACAGCGAGGAAGCCACUUGGUUGGAAGGGUGGUGACGGUAGUGGUAGAAGAAGCACCGGCUAACUACGUG
rnacentral:rRNA from 1 species